rnacentral:rRNA from 1 species
AGAGUUUGAUCCUGGCUCAGAUUGAACGCUGGCGGAAUGCUUUACACAUGCAAGUCGAACGGCAGCACGGGAGCUUGCUCCUGGUGGCGAGUGGCGAACGGGUGAGUAAUGCGUCGGAACGUACCGAGUAAUGGGGGAUAACGCAGCGAAAGUUGUGCUAAUACCGCAUACGCCCUGAGGGGGAAAGUGGGGGAUCGUAAGACCUCACGUUAUUCGAGCGGCCGACGUCUGAUUAGCUAGUUGGUGGGGUAAUGGCUCACCAAGGCGACGAUCAGUAGCGGGUCUGAGAGGAUGAUCCGCCACACUGGGACUGAGACACGGCCCAGACUCCUACGGGAGGCAGCAGUGGGGAAUUUUGGACAAUGGGGGCAACCCUGAUCCAGCCAUUCCGCGUGAGUGAAGAAGGCCUUCGGGUUGUAAAGCUCUUUCAGCUGGAACGAAACGGUACGCUCUAACAUAGCGUGCUAAUGACGGUACCAGCAGAAGAAGCACCGGCUAACUACGUGCCAGCAGCCGCGGUAAUACGUAGGGUGCGAGCGUUAAUCGGAAUUACUGGGCGUAAAGCGUGCGCAGGCGGAUUGUUAAGCAAGAUGUGAAAUCCCCGGGCUUAACCUGGGAAUGGCAUUUUGAACUGGCAGUCUAGAGUGUGUCAGAGGGGGGUGGAAUUCCACGUGUAGCAGUGAAAUGCGUAGAGAUGUGGAGGAACACCGAUGGCGAAGGCAGCCCCCUGGGAUAACACUGACGCUCAUGUACGAAAGCGUGGGUAGCAAACAGGAUUAGAUACCCUGGUAGUCCACGCCCUAAACGAUGUCAACUGGUUGUUGGGGGAGUGAAAUCCCUUAGUAACGAAGCUAACGCGUGAAGUUGACCGCCUGGGGAGUACGGUCGCAAGAUUAAAACUCAAAGGAAUUGACGG